AUUGAACGCUGGCGGCAUGCCUUACACAUGCAAGUCGAACGGUAACGGGCCUUCGGGUGCCGACGAGUGGCGAACGGGGGAGUAAUGUAUCGGAACGUACCUUUCAGUGGGGGAGUAACGUAGCGAAAGUUACGCUAAUACCGCAUAUUCUGUGAGCAGGAAAGCAGGGGAUCGCAAGACCUUGCGCUGAUUGAGCGGCCGAUAUCAGAUUAGCUAGUUGGUGAGGUAAAGGCUCACCAAGGCGACGAUCUGUAGCGGGUCUGAGAGGAUGAUCCGCCACACUGGAACUGAGACACGGUCCAGACUCCUACGGGAGGCAGCAGUGGGGAAUUUUGGUACAAUGGGGGCGAACCCUGAUCCAGCCAUGCCGCGUGAGUGAAGAAGGCCUUCGGUUGGUAAGGUACUCUUUCGGUCCGGGGAACGGAAAGUA
rnacentral:rRNA from 1 species